rnacentral:rRNA from 1 species
UACGGAGGAUGCGAGCGUUAUCCGGAUUUAUCGGGUUUAAAGGGUGCGUAGGCGGAUCGUUAAGUCAGUGGUCAAAUUGAGGGGCUCAACCCCUUCCCGCCAUUGAAACUGGCGAUCUUGAGUGGAAGAGAAGUAUGCGGAAUGCGUGGUGUAGCGGUGAAAUGCAUAGAUAUCACGCAGAACCCCGAUUGCGAAGGCAGCAUGCCGGCUUCCUACUGACGCUGAAGCACGAAAGCGUGGGGAUCGAACAGG